rnacentral:tRNA from 1 species
GGGCCUGUAGCUUAGCCAGGUCGGAUCUCCAAUAUAGUGGAGCGAUAUGCGCACGGCUGAUAACCGUGAGGUCCCCGGUUCAAAUCCGGGCAGGCCCA